rnacentral:misc_RNA from 1 species
ACUGAUGUUGGUGACUAUAAUGUGAAACUACGUGCGAUCACCAAGUUCCUUGAAGAAGGUAACAAAGUGAAGAUCACAUUGCGUUUCCGUGGUCGUGAAAUGGCGCACCAAGAUCUUGGUUUGGCACAAUUACAAAAGAUCGAAGCUGAUGUGGCAGAGAUUGGCGUAAUUGAGCAAGCGCCAAAGAUGGAAGGUCGUCAGAUGGGUAUGCUCAUCGGACCAAAGAAAAAGAAAUAAUCCAUUCUUUUUCCAUAAAAACGCAGUUUUUAGACUGCGUUUUUUAUUGUUGAAAUGAAAAAUUUACUCUGAAAAGGAAUA